UGCAGAAAUGCACGACUCUCGGCAACGGAUAUAUCGGCCCNGNCCACGAUGAAGAACNUAGCGAAAUGCGAUACAUAGUGUGAAUUGCAGAAUCCCGUGAGUCAUCCAGUCUUUGAAUGCAAGUUGCGCCCGAGGCUUCGAAUGAGGGCACGUCUGCCUGGGUGUCGCAC
rnacentral:rRNA from 1 species